rnacentral:rRNA from 1 species
UCGAGAAUAUUUGUCAAUGGGCGAAAGCCUGAACAAGCGACGCCGCGUGCAGGAUGAAGGCCUUCGGGUCGUAAACUGCGGUAGAUAGGUAACAAUGCAAAUGAGUGCCUAUCGGAAAGAGGUGGGUAACUACGUGCCAGCACCAGCGGUAAUACGUAGACCUCAAGCGUUAUCCGGAUUUAUUGGGCGUAAAGCGUGUGUAGGGGGUUGUGUGCGUCUUCGGGUUAAAUCCCACCGCCUAACGGUGGACCUGCCCAAGAUACGACACAACUAGAGGAAGUUAGAGGUGCAUGGAGCGCACGGUGUAGGGGUGAAAUCCGUUGAUAUCGUGCGAAACACCAAAGGCGAAGGCAGUGCACUGGGACUUUCCUGACCCUGAGACACGAAAGCGUGGGGAGCA